UUCUAUAGUAAUUCUAUGUACUCUUUUUAGGCCCUGUUCUAUCGGAUUUCGGAGACAAGACGAAGAUUUUGCUCCCCUUUGCUCAGAACAGAACCGGUAUUGUUUUUAGAAGGGGGGCUGUUCCCAAAAAAAGAAAAGAGUACAGUGACUUUUCGUUAGACAAACAACUAAUAUAAAGUUUAACAAAAAAAAAAAAAAACAACUAAUAUAAAGGGCCUAACAGCAAAGGAACUGAUUUUGGCGCUCUAUUUUUUACUGAUUUACUAGUAACUUCAUGAACAAAGUAAAACGCUAUCAAUAAAAAAUGGAGCGCGAAAAUCAAAUUCCAACAGCAAAAUAUGGAGCAUUUGCAUCUACUAUAAUUCUUGCUUACUUUGGAAGCUAUCAACAAUCGUAGAAAAUCUAUGAAUCCCUCAUUAAGGAUAGGUUCAUGUGCAAGCCAAUUUUAAUUUUCUUAAAUAGCCCCCCCCCCCCCCCCCCCCCCAAAAAAAAAAGAGCAUAGUACCUUGUAUUCAUCGGCCUUCGGGCUAUCUUUUACUUGUAACCUUAACUUUAUUAUUAUGAUAUAAUAAAGUCAUACGAUCAUUUUCUUUCAUGUACGAUUAGAAAAUUCUAAAUCCACAACCGUGUGGCAAGCAAAAAACUAACUUGUGAUCUUCACCCUUUGGAUCACACAUGAUCGCUCUAUGAGAGAGAGGGAACAUCCCUUGUCCGAGAUCACAUCUCAGCUGAUCAAACAGUGUACUGGAUGGCACAAAAGUCCUAUGAACGUGGCUGAAUAAAGGUGAUGGAACUAUCUUUGACCGGCGUACACCAGUAGUGGACCUGCGUGCGCUAGUCAUAGCCUGGUCAACGGUCAAAGCUGAUCGAUGAUUGACACGUGGCAGAGGACCAACGCACGCCAGUUUGGUACUGUAGAUACCCGUUCUUAAUUUUAAUUUACUUUAAAUUUAAUAAUGCGGAUAUGUGUAACUAUUUUAAUAAUUUUGUGAACCAUGGAUUUUUUUUUUUAUGUAUAUAUGUGUGAAUGUACAGUAUGCGUGAUUGAUCAGAUUCAAUUUUGUGCGCCAAGGAUGAGUUGUUGGGAUCCGCGUUAUGGACUUUUCUGGAAAAAAAAAAAAAAGAACUUGAGAGUUACUAAUUAUUAUAGAUUUGUUAGCUUUAGGGGCUUUAGUGUAUUGAUUUAAAACAUUUUAGAAGAUAGAGCAAUAGCUUGAUUCUUGGAGGGCUAUAGUGCAAUUUUGCACUUAAAAUGACUGAGAACAGCCGAGAACUUCUCUGCUUUUCUUUUUUUUUUCUUUUCCGUUUUCUCUCUCUUUCUCCUUCUCUCAACUCUACCCAAACCCUAGACUUCAACCCCAAAAUUGGAUGUCAAGAUUCAAGAAUCUCGCAAAAAUGCAAGAAGAGAAUGUGAUCUAUGGACAAAGGGCUACGCAUCUAUCCCAACAAUGUCGCAUUCGGCCAACUUUGGUGUUCCUAGCAUUUCGGGAUUCGGCUCUUUUAACGUAAGACGGUGGAUCCGGAGGCAUGACAGUGUUUGAUUUGUUUUUUUUUUUUUUUUUUUUGAGCUUAGUUGAUAUACUUGUAUUCCAUUAAUUUGAUAGUAAGAUUUUGGAAGUCCUGUGACUUGGUAUUCUUUUGGGUUGUAAUAAAUUUAAUCACAUAUUUUGACUC